AAAAAUGGAGGAUUUUGUUCAGACACGGUCAAAUUAUCCAGUUUUUUCUUUUACCAUCCAAAAAAGGAGAAAAUUGACAUUAUAUGGAUAGUAAAGUACCGUCUGAAAAGUUUACUCAGGAGCUAGCUCGCGAGUUGCUUAUUGCGAUAUCUUAUUCUGUACCUGGUACUGAUCCGAAUUCAGAUCAUGCAUUGAAAAUCAUAGAUGGUGCAAAUGGCGCUGUGGCUGCAAUCGACAAAGCUGAAAAAUAUAGAUCUGAACUGAUUUCGAUAUCCGAUACGUCUCCUGAUGCUCAAGUGCCUCCUGUUGUGCUUGGGAACCAUGCAGGUUAAAGGAGACAAAAUUGUAAUGGGAGAUUUUAAUACAUACAGUGGCUGUUAAUGAUUUCUAGAACUGAACUUGUUGUAGUGUUGUGUGAUUUUUACACCUAAUGUGGAUUUGUUUCGCUUGUGAUUCUCCCCGUAUCAAUGUAAAUAAGGAAACAUACUUUUGUAGAGACCAUGUUGUGUUAAAAACUCAAAUUUCUGAA